UAGGGAAUCUUCCACAAUGGACGCAAGUCUGAUGGAGCAACGCCGCGUGAGUGAAGAAGGUCUUCGGAUCGUAAAGCUCUGUUGUUGGUGAAGAAGGAUAGAGGCAGUAACUGGUCUUUAUUUGACGGUAAUCAACCAGAAAGUCACGGCUAACUACGUCNCA
rnacentral:rRNA from 1 species